AAUAGAUACCCGGGUAGUCCACCCCGUAAACGUUGGGAACUAGUUGUGGGGUCCUUUCCACGGAUUCCGUGACGCAGCUAACGCAUUAAGUUCCCCGCCUGGGGAGUACGGCCGCAAAGCUAAAACUCAAAGGAAUUGACGGGGACCCGCACAAGCGGCGGAGCAUGCGGAUUAAUUCGAUGCAACGCGAAGAACCUUACCAAGGCUUGACAUACACCAGAACACCCUAGAAAUAGGGGACUCUUUGGACACUGGUGAACAGGUGGUGCAUGGUUGUCGUCAGCUCGUGUCGUGAGAUGUUGGGUUAAGUCCCGCAACGAGCGCAACCCUCGUUCUAUGUUGCCAGCACGUAAUGGUGGGGACUCAUGGGAUACUGCCGGGGUCAACUCGGAGGAAGGUGGGGAUGACGUCAAAUCAUCAUGCCCCUUAUGUCUUGGGCUUCACGCAUGCUACAAUGGCCGGUACAAAGGGCUGCAAUACCGUGAGGUGGAGCGAAUCCCAAAAGCCGGUCCAGUUCGGAUUGAGGUCUGCAACUCGACCUCAUG
rnacentral:rRNA from 1 species